AUAUCAGUCAUGCAUAGCAUAUCAAUAAGCGGAGGAAAAGGCUGCGGAACUGAACGACCGCUACCUACGCUUAGGAUGUUGAAGAUGUAGCACAUCAUACACGCAUGACACACUGCAUAUCAAUAAGCGGAGGAAAAGAAACUAACAAGGAUUCCCUUAGUAACGGCGAGUGAAGCGGGAAGAGCUCAAACUUGAAAUCUUCAAGGUUUUACCUUGACGAAUUGUAGUUUAAAGAAGUGUUUUCUGUUGAAGUUUUGGUAAAAGUUCUUUGGAAUAGGACAUCAUAGAGGGUGAGAAUCCCGUAUUUGACCAUUAUUUUCAGCUGUGUGAUACACUUUCAAAGAGUCGGAUUGUUUGGGAAUGCAGUCCAAAAUGGGUGGUAAAUUUCAUCUAAAGCUAAAUAUUGGCGAGAGACCGAUAGCGAACAAGUACCGUGAGGGAAAGAUGAAAAGAACUUUGAAAAGAGAGUUAAACAGUACGUGAAAUUGUCAAAAGGGAAGCGUUUGACACUAGUGUUGUUUUCUCGAAAAUCAAUUAAAAAAAGUUGGAUUUUGUGUUGUAUUGACCUUAACAGCUUUCUGCACUCUUUUCCUGCUUUUUUUAAUGCACUUUUCGUUUAACAAGUCAACAUCAGUUUCUUUUGUUGUAAAAGGGUCAUUGGAAGGUGGCUUUCUUUUCGGAGAAAGUGUUUAUAGCCUUUGAUCUCUGCAAUCGGAGAGACUGAGGUCUGCAGCGUAGAUCCUUCGGGGUUAGAUACAUUUGUGCUAAGUUAUAACUUUUCAUAGACAACUUGUUGACUAUGUUUUAGUCAUGUAGCUUACUCGCUUAUGCUAUUUUACCUACGCUUAGGAUGUUGAAGAUGUAGCACAUCA
rnacentral:rRNA from 1 species